CAAGAUCUGGCUGGAAGGCUUCUGCAAUGAAUUGUUCAAGGUGGAUUGAGUGAGAGCUCAUAAAUGCGAGUUCCUCUUCUGUUCAAUCAUACAAGGUUGUGAUCAGGAUGAACUGGACACCGACUAGAUGCGCAAGUCUAAGGGUUCUAGUCGCCUACUGCUUCGUCCACAUACCACGAAUCAGGUGUGAACUAGAUUUAGUUUGUAAAUUGUGGAUGAAGGUUUCGGAAAUACUUUGCUACAGUAGUAAAUCAGGUUUCUCAAGUUGGUCACACUGGACUAAUUGGAGGAAGUGUUCCUCUGUUUGAUGAGGUAAUUGGAUAUCUUUUAAUUUUCCAAGAAUGUUGCAAUUUGAUAUAUAAUCAAGCAGAUUAUACUGAA